GAGCAUCGCGUUCUGACCCGCAGCCGUCCGAGCAGCGCCGGGUUCUUCUUCUUCUUCAUCAUCAUCAUCAUCAUCAGAAGACGCGUGUCGGGAUGUGCCGCCCCCCAGAGCAGGUGCCAGCACCGCUCACAGCACAGGGCUGCAGCUCCCGUGGAAAGAAUUGUUGCCCGGGUUUCAGCUUUGACUCACGGCCUCCGAGACAGGAUCCCUUGUCAGCAGGGGCUAUCUGGGGAACACCCGCUCCGUGUUGCCAGGCGCCUCGACCAGAGGGACCGGCACCUCCUCCCGCAGCUUCCUUUUGUUUUCCAGAACAUGGUCACGAUGUACGUGCAUGGGGCUGAGCUCUGCAUGCCCCAAAAGGGCUCUGUUUCAAGAGACAGGAGGGGCUGGGGAAGGUCUGCAAGCAGAUAUCUGGCUGUGACACCAUGUGUCUUGGGGGUUACCUGCGGCCUUUUGUCGCCUGGAUGUCCUUGGCAUGCUGGGGGCCCAGCAUGGCAGGGCAAUGUUGGGCUGUCCUUGGCCAGGUGGGCAUCCCUAGGAAAGAGAAUUUGGAAUGAUCAGAUGGGCAGGGAACAAACUCAAGCUAUUUUAGCUCUCACUUUCCCUCGAAGCUUAAGGCAUGCUUUAACCUUCUGGAUAUUCUUCUGUUUUCUUUCCAACAUCUGAUUUGAAAGGCUUUGCUUUCCGACAAAAUAGGAAUGAAGCUCUACUUGCCCCCAUGCCUUGGCUGGGGCAGUCUAACAUCCCCAGCCCAAGUCCCCACAUCCAAGGGAAGAGCUGUGAAGGAGGUCCAUCCCAGGGAGAUGCAGUAGGUUUGGCUGUGCUGGGAUGGAACAUCCAUGCUGAGCAGGGAGGGACCUGCUCCUGCCGGGCUGCCUCACUACGUCCCAACAGCCCCGCUGAUUGCAGGGGUAGAUUUGCUCAACUCGGUUCAUCCUCAGCCUCCAAACAGCACAUGGAGGCCCAGAGAACAAAGGAAGAAACUUCUUCUCCACCCCUUUCAGCAACAUUUCCCUUUGUGGGUUUGAUGUCCGUAAGAAUGUCCCUCCUCCCCAUGGAAGACAAAGCCCAAGAAAGAAAUCAUGGGACUUAUUUUCUGAGGCCAGAGUUCUGGCGGGACCUCAUUUGAAACCACCUAAAUUUGAGGAAUAUGUAUUUAAAAUGCGAUGCUAUGAAAACCUAGUAAAUAUUUAAUUUUAUUUUUAUUAAAUACUAAAUUGAUGAUGGCUGACACUUUAUUAAAGUGUCAAAGUGAGUGUUCCUACAUUCUAAUUACUUAUCCUAACAAGGAGGCAGCCUCGUCAGGAGCCGCGCGCUGGCGUGUGCAGGCGAGGGGCGCUCCCGUUAAGUAACACCUAUUAAACUAUCAUUUGCACCUUGAGGCAUCUCAUUAAUAUCUCAACUGGUGAGACUGCGCUGCCAGUGCCUACCUGACCCGGGGCACUGGCAGGAGAAAUGGCUCCGGGAGUCCUUUCCUCGCUCCAGGCUUUCCUGCACAAAUAAUUCCUAUAAAAUUAAUAAUUGGUUAUGCCACUUAAUUGAAUUCCUGAUAAAUGAAGAUUCUUCCAAGCCCCUUCUACAUGCGUCCGAGAGAUGCAAGAGGAUUGCUGCACUACACUUGGGGGAAAGUUUUGUUCUCCACCCUCCUCCUCGCUUUCUUUCUUCCUCUCUCCAACCCUCUUUCCACGCUGUGUCCUCCUGCUCCCUCCCCAUCAUUCUUUUCCUCCUCCUCCCAUACCUGCCUUCUCUUUUCUGCAGCACUUUCUCUUCUGACUCUUCCAUUUGGCUCCCUGCCACUUCUCCAUGAUCUCCAUGAUCCAGGAUAGAUCGUUAUGAUCUAUCUUUAUGCUAUCUCCACCAUUCAUCUUCCUUCUGUAGAUUUCUCAGUCUUUUCUCUCUUAUCUCCCCAUCUUGCCCUUUCUCCCCGCUUCCAUUUUGCUUUCCAUUUCACCAAUAACAGCCUUUUUUCUCAGGUUUCCAUUCAGGCCUUGGUCACAUUGCCUUGGAGGAAUGUUCUUGUGGUAUGAGAUCUCUGUUGGACGUGGACAUGGGAGCACAUCUUCAGACCUGUCUGCUCACUAAGAAGAGAUGUCCUCCCUCAAACUGGAGAUUGCCAUAGCCAAAAAACUCACAGAAUCUGCAGAUCUCCUCUCAUCCCAUCUUCCCCGUGGAUGAGGAAACAACUGUAUGAGAAGAGGAGGAACCUGUCCUCAAGACAUGGUCAAAUCUGCGACCACCUGGAUGCCGAAUCAUUGCAAGAAAGGAGAGGCUACUUCUCCAGUACUAAAGGUGACUCACAAGCAGCGUCGCUCCGGGAAAGUUAAAAGUGAUAAUUCAAUAAGGCUCAAGGAUUGUGUGGGACUCAAGGAGGGAUAAAACAGACUUGCAGGGAGAUCUCUUUCCUCUGUCUCCUAGUGAUGGAUGGAGCUGGAAAACCUGGUCAGUUCUGAGCUGACGAGAGAUAAAACAUCUUUGUGGACACACAGGAGUAUAGUUCAAAGGAUUGGAGGGAGAAAAUGAUGUUUCAUUGCCUCCCCCCAGGGCUGAGUGAGGCAAGGGGAGCUCUGCUCUUGGCUCCCUUGGGUGCUGAGGUUGCAGGUAGGGAAACGCUGUGCUCCAUGGACUAGGUAAGUUAUUUCCUACAGCUUUUCUGCCUCCCUCCCUUCAUGGUCCCGAAUGGCAGGCUGCUGGAAGAAACUGGUUGAUGUUUGCUGUGUUACAACAGCAUUUGCUAAUUCUUAAAUUAAAAGGGGGUUAACAAGUGUGCUGAUGGUGGGCUUGGAGGGGAGGAGGGGGCUGCAGCCCUGGUGGCCAGGUGAGGACGGCUGGGGCAGUGCUGCUAUCUAAGCCCCUCUUCUUGCCCCCUGAUCUUUCUAGUUUGAUGCAGAUGUCACUGUGCCCACCACCAAGAUCCUCACCAACCUGGAGAAAUCCCAGCUGGGUGUCCACAGCUCUGAGCUUCACUGCCAAGGAUUCAGCCACUCGCUCCUGUUGCUGCUGCACCAGGUAGGUGCUUCAAAGCCUCCUCUUCUGCUUUGGCUUCUGGGGUUUCCAUGUGCCACAAAGCAUUGACAGGUGGUCAAGAGUGGUAUCAGGAAGGCCAUAGCAAAACCCCAUUACCCUUAUCUGCCCAAGACCAAAGAGUACCCUUCACGAAUGCAGCUGAUGGAGAGACAGAUUCCCUCUGAUUUAUUCCCAUUUACCUCCUGCAGAUUUCCCCAGACCCCUCUGUGCCCACACGAUCUGCUUGUUGCUGUUGCAAUGUGAAAACAGGGAACCUUCCCCUCAGACAACUAAUUUUGGCAGGACUGGGAGUCAGCUCAGAGGCCCCCCAAGUGUUCAGAUCAACUACACCAUCAAGGCCUGCAUGGAAAAGAAGGAUUUCCCCUCCCUCAGACCUUCUCGCCAUUGGCCCAGAGGCUCAGCUAUGGAUUAUGUUUGUUCUCCAGGAACAGCCAUCGUGCUGCUCCUUGUGGGCAUACUGCAGGGAUGCUAGAGCCAGAGAGCAAUGGAUGUUAUGGAGAUGGAGCCACACAAGCACCAGUGACAGCUGAGUGAUGACAUGAAGGUUCUGGUUCCAUUAACCAUCAAUUUGAUAAUAAACAGUAAGAGCCAGAUGUCAUAGGAGCACCUCUAUGCCUUGGUGCUGGUGGCAAGUUUCACACCUUCAGCUCUUCUAAUAAGACAUCAUUUCAUCUCGCAGUGCUCCACUCAAAAUGUUUAUUAUAGCUACACUGAUAGGUACUGCAAGAUCUCAUUACUUAUCUGCACUAUUUUUAUUUUGGAUAGAUAAUAGAAAAAUUGUAUGAAGGGCAGUUAUAGAUUCCUAAAACUAAAACUGUGAUUUUGAUUUAUUCCAGUUUGUGGGCUGCUAAACAAAGUUUUUCAGCAGAGGCACAGACUUCUUUGUGCUUUCACUGGAGCAUGAAAGAUUUUGCUUCCUUUCACGGCCUUCCACAGCCUUCAUUUCACAGCCCAUAGGGGUCUGCAGGCCACCAUUCAGAAACCACAGGGACGGCCGAGGGAAAUGGGUUUGUUGCCGCUGUAGGACUCCUGAUGCUCCACAAACCUGCCCAUGGCAUAGGGCUGAGUCAGCAAAAACGGCCAUUUCUGCAGACAUUUGGUGCCAGCCUUAAGAGAAGUCCUCUCUUCUGUUUCUGCUGUUGCUGUUUGCCCAGAGCCACACGCUGGGCACUUUCUCCCUGCGUGAUGAGCAUGCAUUUAUCAGUCCUGCUCCGAGCGCUGCUGUGCAGCCCCUGCUGUGCCUCCUCCAGUUCCUCCAGGGAGCUCUGACAGGGGCUCAGCUGCUGCCCUGCUCCAUAUGCACGUCCUCAUCCUCUUCCCCCCCCUCUCGGUGGGGAAGGAGCAGCCGUUUCCCCGUCCCUCUGCAGACUCCUGUAAUCCCGUACCCAGGGGCCGUUUAGCCCUGUCUGCCUGGUUUGCAGCUCAGCUCUGAAGGGUCCUAAUCUGGUGUCAUGUACCAUUGGGCACAGAGGCAGAGCAGGGCUCCCCGGGGCCAGGGUCAGCUUCUGAUGGGAAAGGCUGAGCCCCUUCCCCUUGCUGCCCUUGCAGGCUGCUGUGUGGAUGUGUAACAGGACUGGGAAAGGUGACUGAAACCCAGCGCCAUCGGCCGUGCUGUUAUUCUGCAUCUGCUUUCCUCCUCCCAACAUCCAGGCUUAAGAUUUUAAUGUUAUUGUGUUUGUUCACGGUCAUUAUUUAAUUGAUGCUGUUUAGGCUUAAAUUCAUUGAGCUCAUCUGACUUUCUGAGUCUGUAAUGGGGGAAGUAAUCCUGUACCUGGAUGGAAUCAGCUUUAGACUCUCUGCACCACAUAUAAUCUCAAACAAUGCGUAAUUUUUAUGUCUUGUGGCUUUUAAGGAGAAUGUUUGAGUGUGUUUGGCUUUGAACACGAGGCCUCUUCCUUCUCCCUUCUGUACAUAGCCUUGCUAUCACUUGUGGUGGUACAGAGCAUGAGCAAACAGGAAUCCCAUUGGUUUUAUGGGCAUUUCAACACCUUGGGUCUGGGGCUGCACAGCUCACUGCAGAGCUGCACACACAGUCUGCAGCAAGAGCUGCUGCUGGUGUUGGUGUCACUUUGGAGUUGAUGUCACUUUGGAACUGAGUGUCACUGCUGCCUGAGCUUCUGAAAGUGGAGUAACAACCUCGAGAUCUUGCUUUUCCAGAAGCAACCAGAUGUAAGUAAUCCAGAGGUAAGCUUUUAGGUUGCUUUGUCAGGAGGGGAUAGCAGAAGAGUUUUGUUCUUGACUUCCCCUAAGGCACUUAAACAUGAGCUUCAGCCUAAGCAAACCGUGGCCAUCCUUUACCACUUUGUGCCGUGGGAUAACAAAAAGGAUAAAAGCACCUUUUUUUCGGGGAUUUUGUCUUGAAUCAGGAGGAUUGAGGUUCUCAUAAGACAAUGCAGACAAACCCACAUGCCUCCAUGGCACGCUGAUCAUAGCAGAUACAGCCACGGGAUACGGGCACAAAACUUCACAGCCCUGCCAUAAGCUUAUCAGCACUGCCCUUCCCACAAAUCCACCUCCAGCAGGACUUCUCCCAGGGCUGCAGACUCCCAUGGGACACAGAGAGGGGUCUUUUUGGAACCACGUGCCCAGGGUGGGCUCCCUUCCACCAACCCGCACCAACUCGUUGCCCUGCCCUUGGCCCAGCACACACAGGUUGCAGUCCUUGUCCCCAUCCUCAGCCCUGCUGGGGAACCCCCUUCCCACCUGCCAUGGAGACUCAAACCCAGAGAUUUACACUUUCCUGUGGAGUUCCCCUGGAUUUACAAGAGGGCAGGAUUUGACCUGCAGAGUUUAACAAUGGUUGUUAACCUUGACUGUGAUCAAAUUAGACCAGAGCACGAGCUGGCUGUCAUAUCAGGAGCUAAGUGGCCACUUGCUUGGAAAAUAAUAUUCAUUGGUUUUCUUUUGCAUUUACAUUCCUUUUCCUGUAUGCUUUGGCUGUGUCUGUGCUGGGGAGGGAUCAGCAGGAUAACGGGAGUUUCCAACCCAGAUGGGCUCCAUCCUUUUUAUCAUCUCGCUGGAGCCAGAGGAGCUUUUAAAGGAGAACAAAUGUUUUUCAGGCCCUCUCUACGCUGCCACUCUUCAAAUAUGUUCGAAGCUGUUUUUCCCAAAGCCUGAUGUGUUUGUAAGUGUUUCAACUUCCAUGUGACUAAAUGUUCAGCUCUUGCAGGUCUGCAGCACAGACCCUUGUUGGCCCGGCUGAAAAUCAAACCAAUGUGAGCAUUCUCAUUCUGGAGCUGGGCUGAGCUCCUGCCAGCCAUCCCCAGUGCAGACAAGUCCUCAGUGUGUCUCCUUUCAGACAGGAAAGCACCAGUGGCCAAAAAGCUUGAAAAUGACAAAUGUGGCUUCCUGCCUUGAGUAGGAUGCGGCUCGGGUGGGCACAGCCUGGCAUUUGAAGGGUUAAAGAGGCUGUGUCCUUGGUGACAUAUAAUUUAUGAUCUUGUGAAUCCUUUUUUAAUUAUUUUGCUGUGACAGAGGUGGAAAUAUCCAACUUCAAACGACUGGCUUUAUUGAUAUGCUGCUAUUUGUGCCUCUGUGGAGGAACAAUCCCAUAAAAGCAAUAAAUUAGAAAACCCCUGUUCUCAUCAGAGAGAGACAGACUUUCUGGCUGGGAAUGAGAGGCCUGGUGCAAAGGCAUUCCAGCUCCGUGAAGGGGCUCCCUGUGAUCUGUGCUGAGCAGCCCGUUCUUGAACCAGUCACAUGGAUGCUUAUCCACCAGCCCGGCCAUAAAGCCCCCACCUGCAGGCCAGGCUCAUUGCACGGGGCCAGGGCUUGGGGUUUUGUCUGCAUCCACAGUUUAACAGCUGUCAAACGUUUAUGGCUUUGUGGCUGUUUGUAUUGGUUGGUUAUUUACUCUCUUUUUACACCGGAGCAGCCAGGAACACCCGCAGUCGUGGCAUGGUUUGUGUUCCAGCUGCAUUGGACCAUCGGGUCCAACCUGCCCACGGCAUGUGAGCAAGUCCAUUCCCCUCUGUGCAGACAGGCACAGUCAGAUGUGGAGCAAAAGUCCUUUAGGGCUGAUCCUGAGGCCCAGCAACACCCCCUGACCCGACCCCAAGUGUGAGAGCCACCUGCUGCAGAGCAGGCAGCCCAGUUCUCCAGUGCACCCUGGCAGAAGUCAGGAAUGCUUUUGCUGAAGUCGCAGGCACUUCACAGACUCCAGAGGUGAUACGAGAGAAAGAUGAAUUAGUCUCUGAGUAUUUACCUGCCGUUGAUCUAAUUCCGAGAUGCUGCUGUAAAUGGGAUAUUGCUUUUGACUUACACAGACGCUGGAUCAAGCCUACAGCGAUUAACAUUCAACACCUGUGCUUCAAUCAAGCUACUUUUCUCUAGUAAUAUCAUUUAUGCUGAAACUUCAUCUCCUUCAGUCACUGAUCUUCAGGCUUAUCUGCCUUAGCCUGGUGUAAAUCCGGGGUAACUCUGUUCUUAUUGGAGUUAUUCCUGAUCAGCACUGGUUUAAAUGAAAUCCGAAUGUGACCCACAGAUGACACCAUUUCAGCGCCUUGCAGAGGUCAGAGCCAUAACAGAAGCUCAUGGUGUCAGUUGCCUCACCUGUGCCAAAAACAAGCACAGCAAGGUGGUAGAGUUGCUGUCGCAUCUUGGUUAAUUAACAUGGAAAAAUCUUAAAUGUUCCAUGAUUACAGGGAAGUGUUUUCAUCGAGGUAGGAACCACACACCUCCAUGCUGCCCUAUCUAUGGGGUUUCUUCUCUGCAAAUCCAUGAAAUUCCCAGGUUUGGCAUUCAUUGCACUGAGAGAUUGACUGGGAAAUGCAGAUCAUUUCCCAUCCAACAGGAGGGCAGGGAAGAAAUCCUGGCCUUGGGAAACUGCAUCUCUUGAUGCAUGAGUUUAUCAUCACACGGACAGCCCACCUCCACAAUGGGAGAAGCCUUCCCAUGCUAUCUCAGACCUACAGCUCAACGUUUCCCUGGCCCCCCACCACAGAUGGUGCCUUCAGGUGGGGUGAGCACCCACACAAGCUGGUCACUUGGCCAAAAUCAUCCUUUGCUGCAUCUUGGUCCCAUCUUGAAGGUCACCGGCGAGGUCAGGUUAGGAGAAACCAGCAUCUGGCACUUGGCUGGUCCUUCUGGGCAUGUUCACACCUCCGACCUUGGGACCCCUCAAGAAAUCACCCCACUAGAGGGCACUGGGAGUCGAUUUUCUGUCCCCUCUUGGAGUUUCAGCUCUUUAUUUGAGUUUCUCCUUGCUUAGCGUUCUCCCCAGCUCUCCCUCCUCUUUGCUGGCCAGCUCAGACUGUUUAAAUUGGAAAUUAUUUGUAUUACUGUCUGUAAAUAAUAGAUGAGGGAGUGAAGUGGAGUUGGUGUCCCUUCCAUAAACUCCUCCUCACUUUAAUUAGUGCGAAACAGCCUGGUGAGAAUGCGAGCUGCCUUGAUGCUGGUAAUUAAAAUUGAAACCACUGAAAAGCUGCUCUAUUUUUUAUCGGAGCUGCUGUUCGGAGCCGGGAGCCUGCGGACGGCUCUGCAGUAAAGAGUGAUAAUGAAGGUGUGAAUUCCCGGGGGGAGGAGGGGCAGCUGUAGCGAUGGCUGAACUUACACCAGAUGAAAAUGCAGGAGCAAUUAGAGGUGGCUGUGUACAAGCUGGGCAUUGGAGAUUAGUUGGCACCUUGGGAAC